rnacentral:rRNA from 1 species
UACAGAGGGUGCGAGCGUUGUUCGGAAUUACUGGGCGUAAAGCGCGCGCAGGCGGCCUUUUAAGUCUGACGGUGAAAUGCCGGGGCUCAACCCCGUGCCCGCCGCGGAUACUGGGAGGCUGGAGACAUGUAGAGGCAAGCGGAAUUCCGGGUGUAGCGGUGGAAUGCGUAGAGAUCCGGAAGAACACCGGAGGCGAAGGCGGCUGCUGGGCAUGGUCUGGACG